AACGUAGGUGGCAAGCGUUAUCCGGAUUUACUGGGCGUAAAGGGUGUGCAGGCGGGGUUGCAAGUGGUGUAUGAAAUCUCCCGGCUUAACCGGGAGGGGUUAUGCCAGACUGCAAUUCUAGAGGACGAGAGAGGGGGGUGGAAUUCCGGGUGUAGUGGUGAAAUUCGUAGAUAUUAGGAAGAACACCAGUGGCGAAGGCGGCUCACUGGCCCGGUACUGACGCUGAGGCGCGAAAGCGUGGGGAGCAAACAGG
rnacentral:rRNA from 1 species